ACUCCAUUCCCUAACCACCAUAAAAACUCCACAUGUGUCUUCUUCUCUUGGUUUUUUAAGCUAUUUUUGGACCAACUUGGGAAGCCCACCCUGCAACCAUCAUAGAGCCUCAUAAAAAAGAAAUGUGGGAAUUCAUUGGCAAUAAACCUGCCUUGCAAGAAAUGUUAAGAAUAUUCACUGAAGAAAAGAAAAAUGAGGAGUCAACUGAGAUACCCAGAAAUAAAACUAUUAGAGAAGAAAAAGUUGAAGGUCACUUCUAUAUGGGUUGUGCAUUUUCAGCUAGGAAAAAAAGAAAAGGAUACCUUCAGUAUGGGCUCUGUAUUUCUGUGACUUAA
rnacentral:lncRNA from 13 species